rnacentral:rRNA from 1 species
GUAAGGAAUAUUGGUCAAUGGGGGCAACCCUGAACCAGCCAUGCCGCGUGAAGGAUGAAGGCGUUAUGCGUUGUAAACUUCUUUUGUAUGGGAAGAAUGACAGGGAUUCAUCCUUGGAGAGACGGUACCAUACGAAUAAGCACCGGCUAACUCCGUGCCAGCAGCCGCGGUAAUACGGAGGGUGCAAGCGUUAUCCGGAGUCACUGGGUUUAAAGGGUACGUAGGCGGUUAAUUAAGUCAGUAGUGAAAGACUGUCGCUCAACGACGGAUGUGCUAUUGAUACUGGUUAACUUGAAUCAGGUUAGAGUUGGCGGAAUGGGUCAUGUAGCGGUGAAAUGCUUAGAUAUGACUUGGAACACCGAUAGCGAAGGCAGCUUACUAAGCUACAACUGACACUGAAGCACGAAAGCGUGGGGAUCAAACAGGAUUAGAUACCCGGGUAGUCC